rnacentral:misc_RNA from 1 species
GUUUUUAUUUAAGCCCACAUUUAUUCAGUCAAUCUCAGAUGAUACAUCCAUAACCACAAGUUGGGACAAAACAAUGGUGUCACAGUACAAAAUAGUACUAAACAUUCAUUAAUGAUCCUUCCGCAGGUUCACCUACGGAAA